rnacentral:sRNA from 1 species
AAGAAGUGCAGAGAACAUAGCAGAUAUUCAAUGGUAUUUAUUCAACAAAUGGAUAGUCAUAAAAAUUAUAUUCCAAAUGAGGGUAGAUUUUUAUUAUUUAAAAAGGUGUGUGUGUGUGUGUGUGUGUGUGUGUGUGUGAGUUAGUUACUGGGGACUGAACUCAGGGCUUCAUGCAUGCCUGGCGAGCAUUCUACCACUAAACUACAUCUCCGUCUGA